UACGUAGGGGCUAGCGUUGUCCGGAAUCAUUGGGCGUAAAGAGCGUGUAGGCGGCCCGGUAAGUCCGCUGUAAAAGUCAAAGGCUCAACCCCUUGAAUGUCAGUGGAUACUGCCGGGCUAGAGUCCGGAAGAGGCGAGUGGAACUCCUGGUGUAGCGGUGGAAUGCGCAGAUAUCAGGAAGAACACCAACGGCGAAGGCAGCUCGCUGGGACGGUACUGACGCUGAGACGCGAAAGCGUGGGGAGCGAACAGG
rnacentral:rRNA from 1 species